rnacentral:rRNA from 1 species
UACGUAGGGACCAAGCGUUGUUCGGAUUUACUGGGCGUAAAGGGCGCGUAGGCGGUCCGUCGCGUCGGGAGUGAAAACUCGGAGCUUAACUCCGAGCCUGCUUCCGAUACGGGCAGACUAGAGGUAGGCAGGGGAGAGCGGAACUCCUGGUGUAGCGGUGGAAUGCGCAGAUAUCAGGAAGAACACCGGUGGCGAAGGCGGCUCUCUGGGCCUUACCUGACGCUGAGGAGCGAAAGCGUGGGUAGCAAACAGG